rnacentral:rRNA from 1 species
CCGGGGAACUGAAACAUCUAAGUACCCGGAGGAGAGGAAAUCAAUCUCGAGACUCCCCGAGUAGCGGCGAGCGAAAGGGGACCGAUGGCCAAACCGUCGAGCGGGCAUACCCGGCAGGGGUUCCGCCGACGGGGUUGCAGGGCCGCGCAUCCGGGGGCUGCCGCCCCCGGGCGCAGGUCCGGCUGGGGAGCGGAACGGCAUGGGAGGGCCGGCCGCAGCGGGUGACAGCCCCGUACGCGAACCCAGACCGGACGGCGCGACGCGGUCCCUGAGUAGGGCCGGGCACGUGAAACCCGGUCCGAACCUGGGUGGACCACCAUCCAAGCCUGAGUACUACCCUGUGACCGAUAGCGCACCAGUACCGUGAGGGAAAGGUGAAAAGCACCCCGGGAGGGGAGUGAAACAGUACCUGAAACCGUGCGCCCACGAGCAGUCGGAGCAGCCUUCGGGCUGUGACGGCGUGCCUUUUGUAGAAUGAGCCAGCGAGUCGCUGGCGCGGGGCGAGGUUAACCGAAAGGGAGCCGGAGCGAAAGCGAGCCUUAACAGGGCGACUUGAGUCCCGCGCCGCGGACGCGAAGCCGGGUGAGCUAUCCGUGGGCAGGCUGAAGCGGGGGUAAGACCCCGUGGAGGGCCGAACGCACGUCGGUUGAAAACGGCGGCGAUGACCUGCGGAUAGGGGUGAAAGGCCAAUCAAACCCGGAGAUAUCUCGUUCUCCCCGAAAUAGCUUUAGGGCUAGCGUCGCGCGUUCACCGCCGGAGGUAGAGCACCGGAUGGACGAGGGGGCUUCGCCGCCUACCGAAUCCAACCGAACUCCGAAUGCCGGCGGCCCAGAGCGCGGCAGUCAGAGCAUGUGGGCUAAGCUGUGUGCUCGAGAGGGAAACAGCCCGGACCGCCCGCUAAGGUCCCCAAGUUCCAGCCGAGUGGCAAAGGAUGUGCGUCCGCCCAGACAACCAGGAUGUUGGCUUAGAAGCAGCCAUGCAUUCAAAGAGUGCGUAACAGCUCACUGGUCGAGUGGACAUGCGCCGACAAUACACGGGGCUAAGCUGGACACCGAAGCGGCGGGAUUUUAAUUCAUUAGAAUCGGUAGGGGAGCUUCCCAUGGGCGGAGAAGCCGGAGGGCGACCGACGGUGGAGCGCAUGGGAGUGAGAAUGCUGGCAUGAGUAGCGAGAGACGAGAGAGUAACUCGUCCGCCGUGAACCCGAGGUUUCCUGGGCAAGGCUAAUCCUCCCAGGGUCAGUCGGGGGCUAAGGCGAGGCCGGGAGGCGUAGCCGACGCGCAGCAGGCAGACAUUCCUGCACCGCGCACGCGGCGCUACGACCGACGGGGCGACGGAUGGGGGUGGCUCGGCGGGGUUCUGGACGUCCCCGUGAUGGAGCGCGGCCCGCGGACCAGGGAAAUCCGGUCCGCACGAGGGCGAGGCUCCGGACGAAGCACUUAAGCGAAGCGAGUGAGCCCGAGGUCCCUAGAAAAACCCCUAGGCAGGCGCGUGCGCGCCCGUACCGCAAACCGACACAGGUGGGUGGGUAGAACAUACCGAGGCGAUCGGGUCAACCAUGGUCAAGGAACUCGGCACAAUGGCCCCGUAACUUCGGGAGAAGGGGUGCCCGCGCGUACGUGAACCGGCUCGCCCGGGGAGCGGAGGCGGGCCGCAGUGGAGAGGCCCAAGCGACUGUUUACCAAAAACACAGGACUCUGCAGAAGCCGCAAGGCGACGUAUAGGGUCUGACGCCUGCCCGGUGCCGGAAGGUCACGCGGAGGAGUUAGCCGUUAAGGCGAAGCCCCGAAGCCAAGCCCCGGUAAACGGCGGCCGUAACUAUAACGGUCCUAAGGUAGCGAAAUUCCUUGUCGGGU